rnacentral:misc_RNA from 1 species
CGCGGGGUGUGGCGGUCGAGGUGGUCCAGCGCGCGCGGGGCAGCGAUC